rnacentral:sRNA from 2 species
UCCAGAUGAACUUCAACUAAAAACCGCCACGUCCUGUGGCGAACGUUGAAGUCAGCACAUCCUGUGCA